AUGCAGUCCAUCGGGGCGAUGUGCUGUCCACGACGAGCCCCAAUGCAGUGCAGAAAUGAAGAAACAUCAAAAAAGACAAACAAAAAUUGUACUGCGCUCCUGGGUGAUCAGUGCGGUGCCCCUGAUGCAGUUUGGCAGCUCACUAUAGCAGUACAUAACGGCAGUAUCAUGUUUGAGAAAAGUUAUUUUAUGGAUGAGCAUCUGUCGUGCGGUUCCAGUGCAGAUGAGGUUCUAUCGCGAUCCACUGUUUUCUUGCUUGCAGGGCAGGGGGUCGCCUCGGAAAAGAAAAAAAGUAGAAUUUUGUAG
rnacentral:rRNA from 1 species